GUGAACAACGUGCCUUGAAGACUGGGAUAGUCACUGGAAACGGUGGGUAAUACCGGAUGUGGCGCUUUUUCUGCAUGGGAAGAGCGUUUAAUGGUUUUUCGCUUCAAGAGCGGUUCACGGCCUAUCAGGUAGUUGGUGGGGUAAUGGCCUACCAAGCCGACGACGGGUAGCGGGUCUGAGAGGAUGAUCCGCUCGAGUGGGACUGAGACACGGCC
rnacentral:rRNA from 1 species